AGAGAUAACGGAAACUUUGCAGAAGGAAAGGAAGAGGGUUUUGCAUUGCAAGAGUGAAGAGUGAGUGAGUGAGUGUCAAGAGUGAAGAGUGAAGCGUGAAGGAAGAGUGAAGAUCAUCGCCGGCCGCAACAACCAGAGCGUUUCUUUCUCUCUAUUUUCCUUUCUCUUCUUCUUCUUCUUCUUCUUCUUCUUCUUCUUCUUCUUCUACGGUAACAUUAACGGUAACGUUAACUUGAGAGAGAGGGUUUCGAAUCAAACAGAGAGAGAGAGAGAGGGUUUCGCCUCAAACAGAGUGGGUUUCUUUUCUUUGCUUCAAGAAUGCAAAGAAAUUGAUCAAGAAUCGUUCAAUUGGAAGAAUAAUGGAUGUGAUCAAGAUGCAGCAGAAAUUGCUGCUUAUGAAGUUGAGGAAAUAGGAGUUGAACACUUGCUUAGAGAUGUGAAGGAUACAAUCAUUAGCACCCUCGCAACAGAGGUGGGUUUGGGUUAAAGAAUUGGGAAGAAUUUCGUAGAAAUUUGGAAAAGAAGUUGUGAGCAUUUAUGUUUUUUCUGGGGUAUUAAGGUGAAUUUUGGUCCUAGAAUUUGGGAUAAUUGAAAAAAUUCUUAAGAAAAGAUUACUGGUAGCUUUUGGGAGCAAGUGAGAGAAAUUUAGACCAAAUCAGAAAAGACGACACUCUAGAAGCAAAACAAGCUCAACAACACACUAUCUUAUAUGACAUGAUAGCUGCCCAACAAGAAUGUCAUCCAUUAUGCGAGAUAUGCACCACUGACACCUUUUUCAGGGCUAUUAUCCACCACCUAGUUGAUUUUGUGAGUUCUUUCCCUUUUCUCCUUGUUAACUUCACUUUUACAUUGGGAUAAUUUCACGUUUAAGCAUGGGGAGAUUGAUUUGCAUUAUCAUUUUUUAUUUUUACUAUUACUUGUUAGCAUGCGCAUAUUAUUUCAUUUUGUUUGCAUUAUAGCAUGUCAGACUCAUCAUAUCCUUUCCCAGGUUUUAUCUAUCUUAUUUCAUUUUCUUUAUUAAAUUUUAAUGUUGAUACUUUACCCAAUUUGUUUGUUUAAUUAACUUAAGUACAUAUAAACUUGUUUUAAAGCAUUUUUUUAGAAUUGAACUACAAAUUUUAAACCACAAUAUAAGCUUUGGAUAGCAGUAGCACAACAUAUAAUGGUUACAUAUAAUGGUCCAGUUGUGUGAUGGGGUUGUGGAUUAAGAUUAGUUAGUGGAACCAAUGCCCAAGGUGUGGAGGACCCAAGGUGUGGAGGGUAUAUGUGAGAAAGAGAAAGUACAAAGCGGAAAAAGAGGGAUUGAAUGCAUGAGUAAGAUAGGAGGGCAGGUUAUGAGUAUGGGGGGAUCAUAGUGGGGAAUCAUACUGGUUAUACACGAUUAGAGAGAGAAUUCCAAUAGGAAUUGGAACCUCUGUAGAAGCCAUAUGCUCUGGAUGGUUUCUAUUUUCUGUUUUGGUUGUUAUAGUGAGUCAUACCUAAAUUUUCUUUCUCAAGAUUCCAUAAAUGUCCUAUUGAGAAUUUAUGUGUGCGCAUCUUGCAUACUAUUUCCGUAGUAUUUUGCAUCUUUUUCGUAUUGUUAUCAUUCAUGCCUGUUGAUUUAGUAUGCAACAAUGCAUUUUACUUGUUUUAGUUCAAAUGAUUGGUCUAUUUUAUGUUGUGUUUGAGGUGAAAUUUUGUCCUUUAAUUGGAAGGAUUAAAAAAAGUUUGCUAGAAUAGAUUGCCAAUAGAGGUUUUGGGAGCAAGCGAGCGAAAUUUAAACCAGAUCAGAAAUCACCACAUCCUAGAAACCGAGCUAGCUCAACAAUGCACUAUAUUAGAUGACAAGAGAGCUUUGACAACUAGAAAAAUGUCAUCCAGUUUGUGAGCUAUGCACCAUUAACCUCUUUCUCAAGGACAUAAUCCGUCAGCUAGUAGAUUUUGUGAGGAUUUCCCUUUUUCUUCUCUUAAACUUUGUGUGAACAUUGGGGACAAUUUAACUUAAAUGCAUGGGGAGAUUGAGUUGCAUUAGCAUUUUUUAUUUUUAGAGUUAUUUGCUUGCAUGUACAUAGUUAUGCAUUAUGUUUUCAUUGUAGCAUGUCCUACUGAUUAUAUCCUUUUUCAUAAUUUAUCUAUUUUAACCGCUUUCUUUAGAAUAUUUUAGGAUUAAUUCUUUAGGGAAUAGGGACCCAAUUUUUUUGUUUAAUUUAACUUAAUUACAUGCAAAUUUGUUUUAAAGAUAUUAUUUUACCAAUGACCUAUCAAUUUAAACUGCAAUAUAGCCUUAUAUAGCACAACAUAAAAUGGCCAAGAUGUUGAUGGGGCUGGGGGUCAAGAUCCUUUGGAGCCAAGGUGUUGACUGUGGAGUGUAUAUGUGAGAAAGAGAUAGAACGAAGGGUUAAAAGAGGAAUUGAACACAUGAGUAAGUUAGGAGGGAAGAUUAUGAGUGUAUGGGAGAAUCAUUCAGGCAGUUUAUAUACGGUUAGAGCGAGAAUUUCAAUAGUCUUUCGAACCUCUGUAGAAGCCACAGGCACUGGUUGAUUUCUAUUUGUUGUUUUGCUUGUCAUAGUGAAUAUUCUUUUUUCUAGAUUCCAUAGAUUUCUUAUUGAAAAUUGAUGAGUGUGCAUGUUGUUGUAUACUAUUUUUAUAGUAUUUUGCAUAUUUUCUUUAGUUGUAUCAUUCCUACUAAUUCCAACAUGCAUAUUGCUUGUUUUAGUUCAAAUGAUUUGUUUUUUUUU